AGGAUAGGAUUCUUUUUCAAGCUUCAAUUCCCACGUGUCCUUGCUUGGUCUUCACAAUCUCGUUGGCUUCAAUAAGAGGCAGAAGGCUUUGGAUUCCUUCUCCUAGUAAUUCCCAUGGCCAUGUUGUACAAGCCCUUAAGUACAUGGUUAAAGCAUGAAAUUACCCACCAUAAAGCUCCAAUGACCAACAUUGGAUACCAAACUUGAGUAAUUUCCCACGGCUAUAAUGUGUAGCAUAAGUGCCAACGGCUAACCUAAGGAAUAGCUCACAUUGAUGAGUCCUUCAUGUUCU
rnacentral:lncRNA from 1 species